rnacentral:rRNA from 1 species
UACGUAGGGACCAAGCGUUGUUCGGAUUUACUGGGCGUAAAGCGCACGUAGGCGGGUUCUUAAGUCGGUGGUGAAAUCCUGGAGCUCAACUCCAGAACUGCCUUCGAAACUGGGAAUCUUGAGUCCGGGAGAGGUGAGUGGAACUGCGAGUGUAGAGGUGAAAGUUCGUAGAUAUUCGCAAGAACACCAGUGGCGAAGGCGGCUCACUGGCCCGGUACUGACGCUGAGGUGCGAAAGCGUGGGGAGCAAACAGG